CUGGACGGCGUCUACGCGUGGCCUCGACGUGGCAGCGCCGAACCGAGGCUUCACCUCCACCCAGCUGCAUCGCCUCCUUCACAUUACCACUCCUGAGCCGAGCAAACCGAGGGGGAGAGCUCCGGCUUUUCUUUUCCAUCUCGACCAUGCCGCCGGCCGUGGAGAUGACGGCCGUCGCCAUCGCCAUUGUACCGUGCCACGGGAACGCAGAGCUCGCCGACGAUGCUCUGGAGCGCGCACUGGACGCCGUCGUCGGGUUCUCGUCGUCGUUCCGACCGAACCGAGCCACCCCAAGCCGAACUCUUGCGCCACCAGGAUAGCCUCGACGUCCUCUUCGAAAGCCCUCAAGAACCCCAGCCAGUGCCGCAACGAUGAGGGAGAUCGGCGUCUUCUUCCUCAGGUCCGGCCGCCGACCACCGUCGUCGAUUCCUUGAUCCCGGGUGAGCUUCGGCGCAAUUCCUCACUCGUGUAGCAUCUUUAGAUGGUCUUUGAGCCGUUCCACUAUAUUUCUUGGCAGCCCGGAGUCCGGAUUGUGGUUGUCACCGUUGCCAUGCCGAUUUCCGCCGCCGCGGGGAUAUCCUCUGCAUCAUCGUCACUAUCCAGGCCUACCCGUACCUCGUCCGAGAUUCGGAUUUAGACUUAGUCUUUGAGUGAUGCAGGUAAUCGACUGCUUCUUGUAGGACUUGAACUUAAUGGUGUAAACCCCUAGUCGGUGUGCUUGUGGAUUGGGUAGACAAGCUUCCGCUGUUCUAU